rnacentral:rRNA from 1 species
GACAGAGGUGGCAAGCGUUGUUCGGAUUUAUUGGGUGUAAAGGGUCCGUAGGUGGUCGCGUAAGUCUGACGUGAAAUCCCAUGGCUCAACCGUGGAACUGCGUUGGAAACUGCAUGACUUGAGUACCGCAGAGGUAAAGGGAAUUCUCGGUGUAAGGGUGAAAUCUGUAGAUAUCGAGAGGAACACCAGUGGCGAAGGCGCUUUACUGGGCGGUUACUGACACUGAGGGACGAAAGCAAGGGGAGCAAACAGG